rnacentral:rRNA from 1 species
CCUACGGGUGGCAGCAGUGGGGAAUAUUGGACAAUGGGGGCAACCCUGAUCCAGCCAUGCCGCGUGUGUGAAGAAGGCCCUCGGGUUGUAAAGCACUUUCAGUGAGGAAGAACGCCUGGUGGUUAAUACCCAUCAGGAAAGACAUCACUCACAGAAGAAGCACCGGCUAACUCCGGGCCAGCAGCCGCGGUAAUACGGAGGGUGCGAGCGUUAAUCGGAAUUACUGGGCGUAAAGCGCGCGUAGGUGGCUUGAUAAGCCGGUUGUGAAAGCCCCGGGCUCAACCUGGGAACGGCAUCCGGAACUGUCAAGCUAGAGUGCAGGAGAGGAAGGUAGAAUUCCCGGUGUAGCGGUGAAAUGCGUAGAGAUCGGGAGGAAUACCAGUGGCGAAGGCGGCCUUCUGGACGGACACUGACACUGAGGUGCGAAAGCGUGGGUAGCAAACAGGAUUAGAUACCCCGGUAGUC